UGUCCUAGAUAAGGGAUUCCUAAAGUGGUAUCCAUUCUCUUCCUCCUCUCUUUUUUUCUUUUCCACCGCAAACAAUAUCCAUGUCUGCCUGACCUGAGUUUCGUCAUCCUCCUUUUCUGUAUCAUCAUCAUCAAGAGGAGGUCUAAUGUUCUUUGAACAGCUAUCACAGGUAUGCCUUUUCUCAUUUCCUUUUUGUUCCAAUGCUUUUGUCGUACCCUUUCCCUAUGUAGAUACAACCAUUGGUGAUAAACUCGGAGGGAAGUUCCAAUCGUGUACCUUCUUAGCUCCAUUUGUACCCAAAAUGGGGAUACCCAGGUUGCUCCCUCAUAGCUUCGUAAUUUUCUCCUAGCUGUGCACCAAGGCCGCUUUGCAGAUCCGGUUCCAUGAUUCGCGCUUUGUACUGAAGAAAACGUUCUCUCUCAAAAAUUCAAAAUUGCUUCAAUCGGGACAAUCAAACAAUCAAUUUUUUCGGUAACUUUCAACUUUCGACGGCCGUACUUUGAACUUUUGAAUAGUUUAUUCUAAUCAUCCAAGGGAACAACGAUUUGCAGGUACUUGGUGAAAAUUCUAGGAGUAACAAAGUUCUAUUGAAGUUGAUUAGGCUUGGGCAUUUGAAACAAUACCUUACCUCAGAAAGCUAUUCAAGGAUUACUUGAAAGAAAUUUCUCAACCAAGGAUUCUUAGGUGGUUGUCUGCCAAGAACAAUCCAAAAAUAAAUUAUGUUGAUUUCUUUGAUUCUUUUCAUGAUAUAGUAAUAUGAUUAAAAGAGAAUUGACUGGAGCAACAACCAUCAAAAGGGAAGCACUUAUUGCUCCUGGUGAUGAUAAUGAUGUUGCAAUAAAUGUUGGUGAUGAUGUUGAAGUUAAUGUUGGUGUUGAUAUUAGUGAUGUUGGUACUAAAAGUGGUGAUGAGCAUGUUGAUGAUGUUGGUGGUAUAUAUGGUGGAUUCACCCCUUUCAUUUGAUGGUAUAUAUUUAGUUAAUCAUAUUUUGUAAUUGCUAAUGACAAUAUUUUAUAUUUAAUAGAUGUUCAGUUAUUUUAACAUGAAUUCCAUUUUAUUCUUAGAUUUGUAAAAUGUUAAAUUAUACUAUUGGAAAUAGACAUAUGUUGCA